GUAGGUGGCAAGCGUUGUCCGGAAUUAUUGGGCGUAAAGCGCGCGCAGGUGGUUCGUUUAAGUCUGAUGUGAAGGGACCCCCGGGCUCAACCGGGGAGGGUCAUUGGAAACUGGGGAACUUGAGUGCAGGAGAGGAAAGUGGAAUUCCACGUGUAGCGGUGAAAUGCGUAGAUAUGUGGAGGAACACCAGUGGCGAAGGCGACUUUCUGGCCUGUAACUGACACUGAGGCGCGAAAGCGUGGGGAGCAAACAGGAUUAGAUACCCUGGUAGUCCACGCCGUAAACGAUGAGUGCUAAGUGUUGGGGGGUUUCCGCCCCUCAGUGCUGCAGCUAACGCAUUAAGCACUCCGCCUGGGGAGUACGGUCGCAAAGACUG
rnacentral:rRNA from 1 species